rnacentral:rRNA from 1 species
UGCCAGCCGCCGCGGUAAGACGAACUGUGCGAACGUUAUUCGGAAUCACUGGGCUUACAGGGUGCGUAGGCGGCUUGUCAGGUCAGGUGUGAAAUCCCACGGCCCAACCGUGGAACUGCGCUUGAAACCGACAAGCUUGAGUAAGCUAGGGGUGCACGGAACUUCCAGUGGAGCGGUGAAAUGUGUUGAUAUUGGAAGGAACACCAGAAGCGAAAGCGGUGCACUGGGGCUUGUCUGACGCUGAGGCACGAAAGCCAGGGGAGCGAACGGGAUUAGAUA